rnacentral:rRNA from 1 species
UACGUAGGGUGCGAGCGUUGUCCGGAAUUAUUGGGCGUAAAGAGCUUGUAGGCGGUUUGUCGCGUCUGCCGUGAAAAUUCGAGGCUCAACCUCGAACUUGCGGUGGGUACGGGCAGACUAGAGUGUGGUAGGGGAGACUGGAAUCCUGGUGAGCGGUGAAAUGCGCAGAUAUCAGGAGGAACACCGAUGGCGAAGGCAGGUCUCUGGGCCACUACUGACGCGAGAAGCGAAAGCAUGGGGAGC